rnacentral:tRNA from 1 species
GCCUGGUUAGCUUAGUUGGUAGCGCGUCUGCCUUGUGAGCGCUAGGCCGCGGGUUCGAUUCCCGCCCGGGCC